GAUGAACGCUGGCGGCGUGCUUAACACAUGCCAGUCGAACGAAGCACUUUAUUUGAUUUCCUUCGGGACUGAUUAUUUUGUGACUGAGUGGCGGACGGGUGAGUAACGCGUGGGUAACCUGCCUUGUACAGGGGGAUAACAGUUGGAAACGGCUGCUAAUACCGCAUAAGCGCACGGCAUCGCAUGAUGCAGUGCGAAAAACUCCGGUGGUAUAAGAUGGACCCGCGUUGGAUUAGCUAGUUGGUGAGGUAACGGCCCACCAAGGCGACGAUCCAUAGCCGAGCUGAGAGGGUGACCGGCCACAUUGGGACUGAGACACGGCCCAAACUCCUACGGGAGGCAGCAGUGGGGAAUAUUGCACAAUGGGCGAAAGCCUGAUGCAGCGACGCCGCGUGAGCGAAGAAGUAUUUCGGUAUGUAAAGCUCUAUCAGCAGGGAAGAUAAUGACGGUACCUGACGAAGAAGCACCGGCUAAAUACGUG
rnacentral:rRNA from 1 species